GGAACAUCCAUUCUUCAUCAAUGGCCCUCCUACAAAUCGAUCUGAAGCUUUACGCUGGCUAUCAAUCGCCGAGAAGCUGUUAACGAAUCGUGAUCUUGUUGGUAGUAAAUCAUUUGCAACUCGUGCCCGUGAAUCCGACCCGUCUUUAGCUCACCCAAUCGAUCAAAUCCUCAGCAUCGUCGAUACCCUCACCGCCGGUGAUAAACGUAUCAACAAUCAUCACUUUGAUUACUACUCUAUCCUUCAGAUCCCUCCUAACCAAACCCAGAACUUCGAAUUCAUCGCCGAUCAGUAUCGUCGAUUUGCUCUUCUUUUGAAUCCCCAAAACAAUAACUUUCCGUUUUCGGAUCAAGCUUUUGGGCUUGUGGUUGAUGCGUUUUCAGUUCUUUCUGAUCCUUUGAGAAAAAGUAUGUAUGAUAAAGAAUUGGGCUUUUUUCUGAAUCUUUACCCAGUUGCUUCUGCACCUACACCGGUGAGUUUUGUGCAGCAUGGUGGGUUUAAUCAAAUGCAGGGGUCGACUGCAGACCAGCUGUUUGUGAAUAUGCCUAGUCAAGAUCAAGGUUCACAUGCUACUGGAGUAAGCUAUAGUAGAGAUCCGCAAGCUGGAAUUUCUAUGCCGGUUACAUUUCUGAACCGUGAGCAAGAGACUAUGACUAUGGGGAGCUCAGGUUCAGAGCAAGAGCACCAGCAACAACA
rnacentral:misc_RNA from 1 species